rnacentral:tRNA from 1 species
AAAUGAAGGUUCAACUCCCUCCCCUACUA